CGUCCACUGGCUAUCUUUCAUUUAUUGGUCUGCACACAGUGCCAGCUGUCUUGGUCAUGGUGCUGAGCAUUGUAAGUUCUUUUUAUUAUUAUUACAACAAUGAUGAGGUCUCCUCCACACGCUGUCUGGUGAACUUGUUUUACAUGCUGUCCGGCUGCCAUGCCUGGCUCCCUGUGUUAUCUUACUAAAAAAAGGACCUAUACUCUCUGUGUACUUGUAGUUAGAGGGACCUGUACUCUGUGUACUUGUAGAGGGACCUGUACUCUGUGUACUUGUAGUUAGAGGGACCUGUACUCUGUGUACUUGUAGUUAGAGGGACCUGUACCCUGUGUACUUCCAAGGACCUUUACGACUUUACAGGUUGUAGUCUGAUCCAGCGAAAGCUGUUGCCCGAUUCCGCAGUUUUAUGCUUUUUAAACAGGAUUUCAAUUGUCGAUGUAGCUACCCAUAGCUUAUGCUGUUGGAGUCCAGCUCAGGACCCUUGACCUGUUUUACGACCACCGGUCCCUCACGUGACAUGCAAAUGUCGGGGUUAAUCCAGGUAAAGCGAAGGCGACCAUCGAAAGACUGCCUGGUGCUAACCCAUGCAGGGCCCACGCAAUAAUCAUGAUACCAAUAACAUAUGCUUCUUAUAUAUUGUAUUUUAUUGUCGUCUGUAUUUCUUAUGCAAAUGGGACCCCUGCCCUUCAGUCUUUUCAGACCCGCGACGACAAAUCCUGUUGAUUACAUCCCCUCUAUUACCCUGAGGUGAGCCUAUUACCUCAUGCUCCGUCGCAGUUGAGAGAUGUUCCACUUGUUACCCCUCCUUGCUGCCAGAUCAUGGGAGCUGACUACACCAGCCCCCGGCCGACCUACACCGGUCCCCCUACUUGACCACCAAAAAAGUAAGAGACACGCGACAUUAGCUACAAAUUAUAGCAUUUGUUUACAAAUACACAUUUUCUGGGCUCGCUAUGUGACCCAAGAACCGCAAUCUGAAGAUGUCUUCCUGAAGAUGGAGAUCGAAUCAUUGAUUUUCGUCGACUGACGCAGAAAAAACGAGCGAUCAUCAUGGAUCAUUCUCAGUUAUCUAUUGACACUCCCUCAAAUGUACUUAAGUGGAAAUUCCAUUUGUAACCACAUGACCAUCAGACGACCGCUUUGUGAACUUUUUACAGCGUGACUUGACUUAAAUUUGUAACCACAUGACCAUCAGACGACCGCUUUGUGAACUUUGUUACAGCGUGACUAGACCUAAAGGUCAAAGUGCAGCUGUCGCACUGGCUUGGGAUUAGCCGAAAUCACAGGUAAGGGACGGUUGGCAACUGCAAGAGGAAGAAGGAAUAGGGGACGACACGUAUGUUUGUGCGCAUUACAUGUCUCUGCCAUGUUUUCUAAAGUAAUCUGCUGUUGGGUUGAGUGGUUUGAUUAAUCGAGGUUAAAAGGUCAGUGAUAUUCAACAUUCUAAGCUGUAUAUUUCAACAUUCUUGGCUGUAUAACAUUCCCCUGUCAACAUUAUCAGCUAUACAAUAUUCCCUUGUCAACAUUCUCAUCUGUACAACAUUCCUCUGUCAGCAUUUUUCACUGUCACUUUUCCAUCUGUCCGCUAUCUACAGUUCUACACUAUAAAGUGAAUGACUAAAACAUAAGUUCAAUGGAGAGAAAAAAAAAAGAAUAUUUUUGGCUAUAUUAACUUAUACAGAAUAAGAAACAAACACAGAUAAUAAAUCAUUGACUGUGUCUCCACGGAGUAACCCUCCAUAAACACACACAAAGUAUACUUCAUACAUUGGAGUGCCGUGUGUAGAUCUUGUAUGUAUAUUUGUGCACGCGCACGUGUGUGUGUGAUAAACAGAUAGUGUAGAUUAAAUCUUUUAGGUUUUCAGUGUGCUUGUGUGUGUGAUCAGCUAUAUGUUAGUCAUUCAGUGUGUUUGAGUGUGUAAUAGGUUAUUUUAAUCAUUUAGUGUGUUUGUAUAAUAUUUUAUUUUAGUCGCUCGGUGUGUAUCAUCACUCAGCGGUGUGGAGAAGACGAUGCAAUACACACAGUAUGUGAGCGAAUUCUUGUCACGCUGCCCAGUGAACUUUGACCUCACGUACGUGGUGGUGCGAUCUUGUCGGCGUUGUUGUCCGUUGACACCUUGCUCGGUGCCUGACCUCAAAGACUUGUUGACACAGACAAGUCAUGCACCUGGCUGUACAUUUAUCAGCAAAGUUCAUUUUAAAAACGACAAAUGAAGUAUUUAAAGUGCUGUGAACGAUCAAAAGAAUAUUAAUGAAACGUGCUAAACAAAGUAGGUUGUCCUGCAUGUUCAUUAUUUUCAACAUGGCUUCUACUGUCAUGGCAAGAGUUAAAAAUAUAAAGAAAGAGGAAAUAAGAUGUGUACACAAGCAAUGUCUGUCAAUACCUAAUCACACGUCAUGUUAAGCUGCCGUACAGUAGCCUCCCUGUGGUUCAUAUGUGUGUGUUUGUGGGGGGGAGUGGGUCUGAGUCUGGGGUUGGGGACUUGCUUGCUCAUGUUGUGAGCAUCGCUGCCGUCGUCAUUUCCUCACUCUCUCCUGGUGUAUCUCCCUCUCCACACGUGAAGACUACCAGCAGGUGUCGCCCUCUCCUCAGACACUUUCCUCGGGACAUCCUGUCCACUAACAGCAUUCUUACAAACACCAUCUAUGGGUCACACUUCCGCACUGUGUGUGACAAGCUGCUGACACAAGUUCCUCAUCUCCAUCUUUGGGCUGAAAGUUGUUACCAUGGUAACGCACCCGCCGGCUGGCAAGUGGAAUAUUUAGAAAACCCCACGUGCGGAAAAAAAAAUACUACAAAGUCAAAUUAAACAGAAUCAGCCAGCCAAUAACCAGAUUCCACAGACGGAAAGUGGUAUAAAGAUAUUCUUCCCUUUUUUAUUUUUGAGAAAACCACGAGAUCGUUCAGUUGAGCAGGCGUGGAGCGGGUGGUGAGAGAUUUGUUCUACAUAGCAAAAAUCAAAAUUUGUAAAUACAUUGUAAUUGACUUUUUUUUUUCUUCUACAGGGAUUCCACCACACAUGGAUCAAUUUUGUGUGUCAUAUUUUGCUAUCUUUUAUGUAAAUAAAUUGUUUUACUUUAUGUUAUAAAUAAUUAUUUCAAAAAUACCUUUCAUGUGGUAAAAAAAUUAUUCACUGUAAUUUUUAUGUAAAUAAUUGGAUGAAUGCUUGU